GCUGGGUGCGGUGGCGGGUGCCUGUAAUCCCAGCUACUCAGGAGGCUGAGGCAGGAGAAUCGCUUGAACCCGGGAGGCAGAGGUUGCGGUGAGCCGAGAUCGCGCCACUGCACUCCAGCCUGGGUGACAGAGUGAGACUCUGUCUCAA
rnacentral:SRP_RNA from 2 species